ACAAAUUAAAAAAUUAAGUAUUUUACUCAGUCUUUUGUUGUGAAUAUUUUGGGUCAUGUGGUGGAAAAUAAAAAUAUUAAAGAUGAAAGUGAAAGGAAAAGAAGUCAUUUGAUAAGAAGGACUGGAGGAAAACUUCAAUGGUAGGUCGAAAGAAGGUCAAAAGGAGCCUAUAGUUCUGAAAUUCACUGUGUGAUAAGUUAACUUGCUGUUCAAUAAACUAAUUUAAUUAUAUAAACAUAAAGUCACCAUAUUGACAGUCAUUACCCCAUAAAGUGACAGUUAAUUCUGUAAAGUUUUUCAGUACUUCUUUGUUCAUAGUGAAAAUUUUAUGAUGGGAGGGAGUGGUUAAAGACAGAAUGCAAAUAAUUUAGUAUAAUCUGGAAAUUCAAUAUUCCUUUUAAUCAGAUAUUGAGGGCUCUCUUUUGACUUAUUCUGAGGUAUAUUAUGUGAAUCUACUAUGUUAGAUACUGUGGCAGGACUCUAGAGAAGUAAUUAGUAGAAAAAAGUUAGGAGAAGCUCCCUGCCCUAGCUAAGAUUCUAAUCUGAUAUGUACAUUCAACAGCUGAUGCAUAGUGAUAGUAUAAAAACAUGGGUGAAUAUAAGUGACUAGAGUAUGAUAUAAAGUAAAUUCAUAAACUGUGAGGGAGUGUAAAACCUGGGAGUAUGAAGAGCUGGGUGAAAUUGAGGAUUAGGUAGAUUUCUGCCAUAGAUAAGCCCUAAAUGAAGUUUUUAAAAAGGCCAUAGAUGAAUUGGUCAGAGUUCCAGGGUCUCAGCUGGUAGGAAGGGGCCCAGAGUGGUUGCAGAGAGGUGCAUACCAUGUUGUAGGAGUGGUCCAGCAAGACCUUUUGGAGGCUGUUUUGUGGAAGUGUUGAGCAGUUUUGAUAGGUGAGGCCCUUACACCCAGUGUAUUGUUUUUGGUGGACUCACUACACUGCAUGUAAAUGGGACAAGUGCCACCUCGUGGAAUAUAUUCUUACACCUAGGCUAAAAUGCAAGUCUCUAUUCUGUAAGCCAUCUGCUAAGAGUGUCAGGCUGUAGGUGUGUGGACUGCUGAUUACCUGCAGUCUUCCACACAACACACUGGGCUGACAUGGUUGGGUCCACUUUUGUUUCUGCAUAGGAUUUCUUUUAACUGCUCUUCAGGACAGUUACACUGGCCCCUACUGACCAGGCCAGAUCAGUAACCAAGACAGCCCAGUCUUCAGUGUGCCUUGUGUGGGUUCUUACUACCCACAGCCCUGCUGUAUGAAACAUGCUGGGAGGAUGCAUGGCCAUAAAAACACCAAGAGCAACUUACACUAACAUAAGGUGAUGGCAGGAAAACAGAGGAGAUAAGUUCAGGGUUUUCUUGGAAUCAAAAGUAGCCAAGAGGCCUUCUCCAGGGGAAGUUAGGAAGGUGCAGCAAAGGUUAAAUUAUUUACCUCCUUCCCUCCAACUUCACAAAGGAUUAAAGGUACUAACAAACAGUCAGAGUGUAGAUAACGUAAAUUGGAAGUAGGCUGGGAAAAAAAGCAAAGCAAAGGGAGAACAAGGGGAAGAUAAAAAUUGGAUCCGAGAAUGAGACCAGUUCAUAAAAUGAAUGCCCUCACUUCUUAAGGUGAGCCACCAAUUUGGCUGUGAGCUUCCCAGCAGUCCUUGUGAAGAGGGAUAUUCAUUGGACACUUGAUCCACAGAUUGUGUAAUGGGAACACACCAAUUCUCAGAAGACUCACAGAAUUCUGACUCUAAGACCAGAAAUGAACCUCUCCAAGGAUCCUUAUGAAGGAAUCAUGUAUUAUAUAUAAUGACCAACACCCUCAACAUGUUCAGUAUUGUAGAGACAGGUUCAAGGGGCCAGUUUCUCCAAAUAGGCAGAUGGUCACACCCAACACCAGCCAGCCCGAUAAAUAGCAGUUUUAAUGGGGGAAAUGUGCCUGUUACACAUCUAAUACCAAGCUUGGGUUAGGUAUAGAUUACAUAGUAUCUCAAAGAAUAACGAACUAGUUCUGUCCAAAAUAUUCUGUGAUUUUUGAGCUGUUUCUACUGUACUUUGGUGGAACGAGACUCAAUGAUGGACUCAAUCAAGACCAGAUGGAGAAGUGGAUGAGAAAAUAGCUGCACAUUAGACAGUAUGAGAGUCUCCCAGAACAUGUGGAUCACUCAACAUAAUAUUUUAUUAUGGCCAUGGAAGAGGUAAGUUGUCCUUUUAUAGGAUACAGUGUCAGGAAAAGAAAUCUCAGGUAUACUUUUUUAUCAUAACGAAAACUUCAUAAACAUUUUUAGAUGUUAAUUGUAUUAAAAUUGAUGUGCUGAAUCAUUAACACUUAUUGAAUUAUGGAUGAUCCUUAUUAUUCACAGAUUCCAAUGUCUGUGAAUUCACUUACUCCCUCAAAUAUAUUUGUAACCUGCAAAUAGCUACUCAUGUUGCUUAUGUGAUCAUUCAUGGACAUGCACAGAGGGGUGAAAAAUUUGGUUGCUCAGUGUUUCCAGCUGAGAUUGAACAAGGCAAUACUCUGCCUUCUUGUUUCAGCUCUUAGUAUAAACAGGUGUCCUUUGGUGGUCUCUUUAGUGCUUCAUUGUCCUCAUUUUUGUGCUAUUUGUUGGUAAUUUUACUGUUGAAAAUGGUCCUAAGGUAUAGACCUGAAAUGCCCUCUGGUGUCUCUAAGCACAAGAAGGGUGUGAUUGAUAUGCCCUAUGGAAAAAGUGCAUUCAUUUGGGAAACUUCAUUUAAGCAUGUUACAGUGCUGUUGGCUAUGAGUUCAGUGUUAAUGACUCAACAAUAUAUAAAUUAAUAGUGGGUAUCUUUAUACAGAAACACAGAUAAAAUGAGGUUAUGCAUUGGUUGAUGAUAUAAGCCUAACCCUGUAUUUCCUAUAGGAGCAAUGGUUCAGUAGUCCCUAAUUUAGCAGUAACUUUAUAGAACAUAACACAGCGAGGAAUGAGAAUCAACUGUAUUUCAAAGAAAUGAACACCCAAGUUAAGCAGUAACUGCUUUUGGUGUCACAGUUUUCAUUUAAUAAUCUAAUAGUAGUUUUCAGAUAUCUUGUAUGCAAUAGUAAAGUAUCUUGUAUCAGGUGCUCUUUACUUUUACAACUUUACCUUUGGAAAUAUCCAAGCAUAACAGUUCUUUGUUAAUGUGUUAGGGACUUUGGGGGAAAAUGUUUUGGAUGGUGUGAUACUUCUUUUACUUGAUGAGGUAAGAACUUAAACAUUUGUAAUAUAAACCCCUUUUUUGCAAGGAUCAGUCUUUGAUCCACUUAUUUAGGGAAGAGAUAGAUAUUCUGCAUUUUUGCUUGAGAAAUAUAGCAUUAAAAAUAACCAUUGAAAAUAAUCAGCCUUUCUUUUUCCUUAUGCCACAGUGAUAUUUAAGUAGCAAAAAAUCUUGUGUUUCUUCCCAUGUCCUCUGCCCAAGUGAUGGUUCUUGAUGACACAUAAAUUGUGUAGCUUUCAAAUUGAUUGAUGUCACACAGACCUGCAUCCUGGGAAAGCAGGAUGGUGACCAGGUGAGUAUUUAUGACAGAAAGAUCCCAGGAGUCCUGUGUUUAUAAGUUUCUUUGGGAUAAUAGAGGAAGAAUGAUCAGGGCAAACCUGAAACAAUGCUGUUUUUUAAUGAUGGUGUCUAGUGGUCAUGUUUAAAAAAUGAAAUUCCAGUAGAAAAUGAACACUGGUUCCCCACCUCUGUCCUUUCAGUUACAUGUGAUGUUUGACAGCUCCUUCCCCAGAUAUCUUUUGGAAGUAUUCAAAAUUAAACAGGCAUUAUGUUGUUGACCUUUUCAAAAACCAAAUUUUUCGUGUUUAUACGUUUUCAAGUCCUUGAGUCUUAGGUCUGGAAAUGCAUUUAAUAAAAGAGAAAAAUAAUGUGUGAUUAUAUGUUAAAUGAUACAUUACUUUAAAUACAUUUAAGAAAUUUACCAGUGAUUUCUGAACACUUGACAUUGGAGUUGUCCAUUGACUUAAUUGUAAGAAGAUUGGCACUUUGAAAAGAAAUGUGGGAUUAAACUGAAAACAAACCUGAAGUUUGUUGUUCUUUCACAUAUCAUCUCAAGUGGCAUCCAAGCUAUUAAUCCUAAAAUCUGAAACCAUUUAUGUUUUGGAUGCUUUACAUUCUAAAGAAAUGUUCUGUGAUGCCAGUCUUCUGGAUUUGUACAUGAUUUUUUUCUUAAGACAUAUUUGCAAAAGAGGCUAUAAAAUGUGCAGUAUAAUUUUUCAAAGUGCUUGCUGGAAGGUAAUUUUGGCCCAUCUAAACUUCUCAGUUAUUUAGUGUGAGAAUCUCAUGCUAAAAGAAAAUUUGUGUAUUGGUAUCAUUUAAUAACUUAAGACUUCUAAUGUGACCCUUGGCUGGUUGAAAUCCAGAGUCUUUAGUAGACUAAAUACAUAUAAAAUUUGUUACCUGACUUUUUUUUUAUGUUCCAAAAGAUGAUGUUUCCCAAAGAGUAGGGCCUGGGUUUUAGUGUUUGAAGAUUCUCUCGACCCAUUCCCUUUUACCAGACAGGGACCUGGACCUGAGUGAGUGUACCCAGGACCUGCUAGUAGCAUGUGGGUUCUUAACUUCAUGUAGGAAAGAUUUCACAACAUGAGUCCAGGCAACUCUAAGGAUGAAUUUAUUAAAGCUGGGACAGUGAAACAAGGAAGGGCCUAGCUUUGAUGAAGCAACAAGAGAGCCUAGGCCGGGCUGCCUUAGGUCACUGGGAAGGCAGAGGAAAGGGGGCUUUGGAGAUAGGUUCUGGGAAUUAGCCUGGGAUGAGCUGCUGCUGUCCAUUUCUCCCCUGAUUGCAAGUCUCCUGGGGACCCUUAGAGUUUAAGAGACUUGUGUUGGUGGGGAAAGAAGAAAGGAAAGGGAAUGGGUGGACUGCUCAGGGAGAGCUCCUGCCCUGGGUCCUUUGUUUUGAGGCUUUUGUCUUUCUUGCAGCUGGGAAUCUUU